rnacentral:lncRNA from 1 species
AUAUAUGUAUUCAUGAAAUUUCAGAGAAGACAAUAGUUUGAAAAUUCUAACCAGGUUAUACUGAUUUGCUAUGCAUGCAUGUGUUAGAGUAUGACUUUAGACUUCUAUUUAAAAGAAAAAUUAAAUAGAAAAAAAAACCCCCAAAAAGACAAAUAGUGAUUCUACCAAUUUAUUAUCAACAUUCUAUAAUAGGAACUCUCUCUCUUUCUUUCUCUAUCUAUUCAUUAUAUAAACAAGUAACACUU